GUGCCUUUCAGGAUUGAUUUCCAACAGCACAGUGAAUGGUCUAAGUGGGGAAGGGAGUUUUAGCAAGCAGUCAGUCAUCAAUAGCAUCCUGCUCUUAAGCCAAGGUAAUGAUGGCUAGUUUGAGUGUGCCUGCAUUUUCCCCAAGUGUGUACAGGUCUACUCCUUGAAUGCAGGUAUGUGUACAUGUGCAAUUGCCUGUCUCGUGUGCAGCCAAGCCAGGAGAACAGUGUGUUUAUAGAAACUGUCCUUAAGAGCGAUUGCCUCUUGAAGGAGUAGAGCCCAUAUAAGAGGAGUGGGACUGUCUCCAGCCAGCCCUGGGAGACGAUGCUGAGAGCAUAUUGAAAAGCUGUCUUCAGCAAAAGCUUGCCAGUUUAACAACUCUGUUCUCUGUUCCUAUUGCACAGUGGGCUCUUUGACGCAACAGAAAGAGCUGCCUUUUUUUUUUUUUUUUUUUUGCUUCCUCUUAAAUCCGCCUGGCCAAUUUAAAGCUUGUGGAUAUUUCUUUCCCCUCGGGGAAAGCUUAUAUGAGGAUUUUCUUUUUUAACAGUUCAUUCCGUGAAACCAUUUUUUUUUUCCCUUGAUUGCUGUUAGAAAAUGUUGGAGCUGAACAUAAGGCUUUCAGUGCAGGUCAGUGACUGAACUCUUGACCAAAGUAUUUAACAUUUAGUAAGUGCUUUAGUAAGCACUGUAGUUUGGGAGGAAAAAGCAAGUUAAUAAGAUUGUAUCGUGUGAGCCCAUGUGUGCCUACUACUGGAAUAGGAAUCUUUUUAUGUGUUCAGUGUCUGAGUUCUGUGUGGAUGAAUUUAUAAUCUUCCUUUUGUAGACAAAUGUACCGAAUGAAUAUUUCAGUGAGAAUUGAGAUUGCUAUCAAGGGAACUAAGAGAGGAUGUAGGCAUAUUGUUAAUGACUCUCUUCAGGCUGUAUUUGAGGUAAGACAAUUUUUUAUCCUUAUCUCUGAAAUUAGAAUAUGAAUUAGAUGCAGUAUUUAUUUUCUUUAUAGUUACUAAGAUUAUCCUAUUGCUAUUUGGUUUUCUUAAUGAUAAAAUGUGUUUAUACUUGUCACAAAACUGUUCCUUGUCUAUGUGACACUUAAAAUCCUGUAUUUUUAUUUCAACAGUAUCUACUACCUAUUUGCAUGUUGCUAUCAGCUUGUGUUCUCUGGAUCAAUGAAAGGCCAUUUCUUGUAAUUGCUUUGGUUUUGUC
rnacentral:lncRNA from 1 species